GACGAACGCUGGCGGCGUGCUUAACACAUGCAAGUCGAACGGAAAGGCCCUGCUUUUGUGGGGUGCUCGAGUGGCGAACGGGUGAGUAACACGUGAGUAACCUGCCCUUGACUUUGGGAUAACUUCAGGAAACUGGGGCUAAUACCGGAUAGGAGCUCCUGCUGCAUGGUGGGGGUUGGAAAGUUUCGGCGGUUGGGGAUGGACUCGCGGCUUAUCAGCUUGUUGGUGGGGUAGUGGCUUACCAAGGCUUUGACGGGUAGCCGGCCUGAGAGGGUGACCGGCCACAUUGGGACUGAGAUACGGCCCAGACUCCUACGGGAGGCAGCAGGGGGGAAUAUGGCACAAUGGGCGGAAGCCUGAUGCAGCAACGCCGCGUGCGGGAUGACGGCCUUCGGGUUGUAAACCGCUUUCGCCUGUGACGAAGCGUGAGUGACGGUAAUGGGUAAAGAAGCACCGGCUAACUACGU
rnacentral:rRNA from 1 species